UACGUAGGGUGCAAGCGUUAAUCGGAAUUACUGGGCGUAAAGCGUGCGCAGGCGGUUUUGUAAGUCUGUCGUGAAAGCCCCCGGGCUCAACCUGGGAAUUGCGAUGGAGACUGCAAGGCUUGAAUCUGGCAGAGGGGGGUAGAAUUCCACGUGUAGCAGUGAAAUGCGUAGAGAUGUGGAGGAACACCGGAUGGCGAAGGCAGCCCCCUGGGGUUAACACUGACGCUCAGGCACGAAAGCGUGGGGAGCAAACAGG
rnacentral:rRNA from 1 species